GCCACCGCCUUGUUCCGGCGAUUCGGCCGAGUCGUCGAUUACUUUCGUUGUUGAAUCGAUUCGCCGGGCCUCGGCUUUAAUGCAUCAUCGCUUCCCGCUGGCGGGGUUUCGUGAUCAUCGUCAACAACAACAAAAAUCUGUUUAGGAAUCGGAUUAUGGAGAUGAAUCGCGGUAUGUAAUCGCGUGCGGAGAGGAAUCGCUGGAGGGCCCCAGUCGACAACGGGGCAAGGUGAGCGGCGUGGAGAGCGAGUGGAGGAGCCAUAGUUGUGACUACGGCAGCUGUGGCGAUGCCUGGCGUGGCGGUGCAGUGGUCGCGCCCGGCCGUGCUCGGCUUGUACCGCGCGAUCCUGCGCGAGGGCCGUCGGCUGCAGUACACGGACAGAGACUUCUUCGUGUCUUCCGUCCGCCGAGAGUUCCAAAAACACCGCGACGUGCGGUCGACGGCGACGCGAGAGCAACUGCUGAAGAAGGGAUGGAACUUUCUCAACAGCAAGCUCGGGGGGCUGAUGUGAGCGACGGCUGCGGUUAAAUCUUCCUGAAGCUCCAGCCACUCGUUUGCAAGCGCUGGAUGAUUUAUGGGGGCUAAUGGCCAUGUCUAACUAGAACUAUUCCAGCAAAAGUCCUGACAGCCACCUGUGAUGAAAUAAUGUUUUCCGUUGUCGCAAGUUCAUCGUUUUUGGGCCAAUCGCAAAUGAAUGCAUAGAAAGACCGUACAAAUGUCAGUUUAUACUUUAUAUGACUUAGAUCAAAUAAUUUGGAGGCUCUUACUGAACAAAAAAAAGGAAAGUAAGAAAAUGGGGGAGGCCUUUAUCCAGUCGUGGGGAGUUACAGGCUGACACCAACAGAGCUAGCAGCUCUUAUGGCUCAAAUUUACAAAAAUAUCCGAAGACUGACAUGUUGCAAUUCACUCUUUAUGGAGCAUGAAUGAAUGCAAUUCGGCGUUGAAAAGAAGGUUCUACUGAAUGAUCUUCCAAUGGAUUUAUGACCAGAUGUGUUGUUUGACCUCAUGGUAGAACUCCAAUAUAACAUUUAGGAUACAUUUGAUAGUCUCAAACGUUAUGUUGGAUAUAAGGGCAGCAUUUCAAUAUAAUUUGCUUGAAAGUUUAAGGCCACUUCUGUUGAUGAAAAUUAAACUUACCGUAAAUACCACUAUAACACGCGUGUUUUCAUCCACGGUAUCUCAUUCCAAAACUUAAAAUUAUAUCUGCACGUGAAUUUAAUCAUGCGUGUUUUAUUACAUUUUGAACACAUUGGAUAAAAUGUCUCAAUGUUGACUGCAGUAAACACGUGUCUGAAGACCUUGUAAAGAACGGCCUUAGGAAAAGCUUACCCCUCAAUAAAUGUUGAUCAGUGUAGACUUUGAUUAGGGGCAGGACAGAGAAGUGAUCAUUUGUAAGUGCUAACGAGUGGUGCAACGUUAGCCAACAUUGCGUGCAUUGUAACCUGCAUUUGUUUGGUCCGAUAUUUUGCCCUAAUCUCGGUUAUUUUCUUGACUUAUACAUGUAUGAUGUUUUGGUCAUGAGUUUAAUAUCACCGCUGUGUAAAUUCAGUAAAGAUUCAAAAUACCGAUUGAUAAUUAUUUAUUCAUGUUGAUGAGCUGUUUCUCCGCAUGUUGUGAGUCACGGAAAUAUUGAAUCAUAAAUAAAUUUACGAUCGCCAAA